rnacentral:rRNA from 1 species
UGGGGAAUUUUGGACAAUGGGGGAAACCCUGAUCCAGCCAUCCCGCGUGUGCGAUGAAGGCCUUCGGGUUGUAAAGCACUUUUGGCAGGAAAGAAACGUCAUGGGUUAAUACCCCGUGAAACUGACGGUACCUGCAGAAUAAGCACCGGCUAACUACGUGCCAGCAGCCGCGGUAAUACGUAGGGUGCAAGCGUUAAUCGGAAUUACUGGGCGUAAAGCGUGCGCAGGCGGUUCGGAAAGAAAGAUGUGAAAUCCCAGAGCUCAACUUUGGAACUGCAUUUUUAACUACCGUGCUAGAGUGUGUCAGAGGGAGGUGGAAUUCCGCGUGUAGCAGUGAAAUGCGUAGUUAUGCGGAGGAACACCGAUGGCGAAGGCAGCCUCCUGGGAUAACACUGACGCUCAUGCACGAAAGCGUGGGGAGCAAACAGG